ensembl:lncRNA
GCUUCACUGACAACUUUUAGUUUAACAAGUUCCUUUAAUUGACAGAAUGAAUUUCACUGAGUACAUGGGAACCAGUUGAACGAAAUAUUUAUGAUGUUCCUAAAAAAUAUCUUACAGUUUCUACAUUUCACAUUGUUGAUGUCACUGAACGAUUUCAAAGCUUGUAGAAAGUUAGAUUAAAACUGCAGUAAAUGUGUUACAAUUAGGAUUGCAUCCAGAGAUACAUUGCAGUAGUCACAGCAGUCAAAUACACAGAUGAGAUUGCCCCAAAGAGAAGCACUUAUGAAUAUAUUUUAAAUCAGUGCUCCUAUUUGAAGUAAACUAAUUGUGCAUUAUUCUCAGAGUAUUGGAUUUUGUCCAAACUGUUUAACAUUUAAUAAAUUGUAAAAUGUAUCUUUAGGUGCUUGAAUCACCCAAAACCACCCUAAGAAAUAGCACUUACCAAUUGAUUCAGGAAGGUCAGAGCCAUUGUUAGGGUAUCUGUUGUGACAAUAAGGGAGAUAGGUGCUCUUCUUCUUUGAGUCUUCUCUUGCCAUAUUUACCACUGAUAAUAUAAUCGUUACAUAACUCUUAUGUUGGAAAGUGUCCAACUGAGUAUUUACUAGUUGACCACUAUUUCAUUCUGAGUCUGGUGCUGUUCAUUUAAAUGCUCACAAACUGAUAAGAACUUGAGACGAUUCACAAUCCAACACAAAAUCCAAUGUGACAAUAGAAGUGAUCAUGGUAGAUCACUCCAUGUGAAAGAACCAGGUGAUUCACACAUGGACCGGCAGUUAUCAGUCUAGAUUGAGUGUAGGUACACAGCCAAAUGAUACUUUCACUGAUGAAUUUAGAACCAUGUAUUUCACUAUAUAAGUGGAAGAAUUUUAGUAAAUCUUUAUAAAUUAUAAAAAAGAAAGAAUUGUGUUACAAUUUCAACAGCAAUGAAUGUGAUUGUAGUUUCACACUCCAUGAUUUCGGUGUCCAAAUUCACUGAAUGUUGCCCCAACUUGUUAGCACUUUCAUUUAAACUGCAGUAAAUGUGCUACAAUUAGGGUAACAUUCAGAGAUACAUUGCAGGACUCACACAAGUUAGUAACAUCAAUCAGACACAUGAGACUGCCCCAAAGAGUAGCACUUAUCGAUGAAAUAAAAAUCAGUGCUUCUAUUUGAAGUAAUCUAAAUGUGCUUGUUUUAUUUUUGGUAAAGUAUUUGAUGUCAUCUUACGAAUGAGCAGUUUCAUGAAAUCUGAUGAGAUCAAUUGAGACUGCCCCAAAGAGUAGCACUUAUCGAUGAAAUAAAAAUCAGUGCUUCUAUUUGAAGUAAUCUAAUUGUGCUUGUUUUUUUUUUUUGGUAAUGUAUUUGUUGUCAUCCUAUGAUUGAGCAAUUUCAUUAAACCUGGAUAAAAGAUCUUAUUGAUUCAGUC